UAUCACAGUUCUUUGCUACCUC
rnacentral:miRNA from 1 species